rnacentral:tRNA from 1 species
GCCUCGGUAGCUCAGCGGUUAGAGCUGCGGACUUUUAAUCCGUAGGUCCUGGGUUCGAAUCCCAGCCGGGGCA